AAUUUUGGACAAUGGGGGAAACCCUGAUCCAGCCAUCCCGCGUGUAUGAUGAAGGACUUCGGGUUGUAAAGUACUUUUGGCAGAGAAGAAAAGGCAUCCCCUAAUACGGGAUGCUGCUGACGGUAUCUGCAGAAUAAGCACCGGCUACCUACGUGCCAGCAGCCGCGGUAAUACGUAGGGUGCAAGAGUUAAUCGGAAUUACUGGGCGUAAAGAGUGUGUAGAGGGUGCGGAAAAAAAAAGGUGAAAUCCCAGGGCUCAACAUUGGAACUGCAGUUUUAAAUGCCGCGAUAGAGAAUGUCAGAGGGGGGUAGAAUUCCACGUGUAGCAGUGGAAUACGUAGAUAUGUGGAGGAAUACCGAUGGCGAAGGCAGAGCCCUGGGAUAAAACUGACGCUCAGACACGAAAGCGUGGGGAGCAAAAAGG
rnacentral:rRNA from 1 species